UUGCGUUAUCAAGAGCGGUGCACUUCCGUGCACCCGGCAACCUGGGGUGGACACCCAAGGUGCUUUCCUACUUUGUAGGGAUAUGGCUGAGGUCUACGACCAAAGCAACAAAGUG
rnacentral:ncRNA from 10 species